rnacentral:RNase_P_RNA from 1 species
CGAGUCGACCGGGUGACCGCGGGCGUGGCCCGAGGAAAGUCCGGACUCCACAGAGCGAGGUGGUGGGUAACACCCACCUGGGGCGACCCACGGGAAAGUGCCACAGAGAACAGACCGCCCGCGAGGGCAAGGGUGAAACGGUGGUGUAAGAGACCACCAGCGUCCCGGGUGACCGGGACGGCUUGGCAAACCCCACCUGGAGCAAGGCCAAGAAGGUCCGCCUAGGCGGGCCGCGUCGGCGUUCGAGGGCUGCUCGCCCGAGCCGACGGGUAGGUCGCAGGCCGGUCCGACCAGGCCCAGCCUGGCCCAGCCGGCCAAGGUCAGCGGUGACGCUGGCCGCAGAUGGAUGGUCACCGGCCGCGAGGCCACAGAAUCCGGCUUAUAGGUCGACUCGUCCG